rnacentral:tRNA from 1 species
GGGGGUGUAGCUCAGGGGUAGAGCGUUUGACUGCAGAUCAAGAGGUCCCCGGCUCAAAUCCGGGUACCCCCU